CGAGCCGAGCCGCGCCUGCGCCAAGCCGAGCCGGUCCCUGUCCUCUUCCAGCCGAGCCGCCAGGACUAAUUUGGCUCCAUCCACCUAAAUUUUGGGACGUCUUGGACCAAGUAAUUGCUGCAGCGCGGGAUUUCUUCAGUAGGGGCUCGAGCACUGCAACCUCCUUCUAGGUUAGGACCUCGUCGCUUGGAAAGCGUACUGCCUCGCGGUUAGGACUCUACAAGUAAAUCUCCAGGUAAGAGAUUCUACUACUAGCUUCAUGUUUAGAAGUAUGAGACUAUGUAUGCCCCGACUUUUCAUGUUAAGAAUUAGACAGUACGUUGCCUGAGAUAAAUGUUAGUAUGAUGCAAAUGACGAUAUAGUUAUACUAUAGCCUGUUAUGUGUGGCAAAAGCUGUCAUGGCUACGACGAAUGUCGGGACGGAAAGUGUAGAGAUGAUUUAUGUGACAUGUUAUAAGUGGAUGCCAUGUGUAUGUAUACUGCAAUUAGGGUACCUGUUAGCUUAGUCUGUUAGAGUCGUACCUGCAUGGGUGUCCUCCGGGAUCACCACCUAUUGAGGACUUUGUGGUCCGACGGGACACCAGUCUAGCAUGGAUAUAGAUAUGACUCGAGUGACUCGACGGGGUCCUCGCAUCCCGACUGUCCUAGGUGUCCCCCGGGGCACCGAAGACCAGAGUUACGUUCCUACGGGAGCGCAUGAUUGCACGUGUUCGGGAAAGUGCCAGAGAUUGGGUACCAGUUAUCAGGACUCUAACAGGAAGUUAACAGGCACCUAGUGGGACUAGUAGUGGGUCCCUUACUGAGUAUUUUUAUACUCACUCUCUUCGUUUUAUGUUUUCAGGUAGAGGACGGGGCAAGGGCAAGGGCAAGCUGGCGAGCGACCCGAAGUGAGACCGUGGAGGGCCAUAGGGACUACCGCUUCCGCUUAUUCUUAUUUCAGAUUUUCGCAUUUGAAUUUGAGUACUUUUCAUCACUUACCAUCUUUUAUGUAGAUAGGGCCCGAGUAGGAUUUCAGAACGCUUUUACAUUUUUGCAUGACUACCUUGUUUAAAUUUUAUAAAUAAAAUUUCUUAAACCGUA